CAGCAGACACAUUCCAGCCAAUCAGCAGCAGACCCUCCCUCCCAGACCGUCCCACCUCCUGGACAGCAUCUAUUUUAUAUUCAUUGUGAAGCUGCAUUCUUAGUGAGCUGUCCAGGAGAUGGGAGGGUCUGGGAGGGAGGGUCUGCUGCUGAUUGGCUGGAAUAUGUCUGCU
rnacentral:miRNA from 1 species